GCAAACUGAAUCUUAACACCACAAGUGCAAGUAAAGUUUUCGUCAAUUUGGACAUUACAGAGGUUUCUAAGCUCAUUGACAGAUAUAAAGUUGUUGAGAAUGAAUACGAUAAUGUUGUUCGAUCUAUUCCAGCACAUGACAAAAAACCCAAAUCUGAAUCAGAAUUGAUAUUGCAGACUACGAUGUCAUUGGCAAAAAUUAAAGCAUUGGAAUGGGUGGAAGGAGUCAAGGAAAGAUUUUUUACCUGUUAUGCGGAUAUUGUAAACAUAGAAACAGAAUUUGAGUGGAAUUAAAUCUCAUGUCAACUUUGCAAGCAAAAAGUAAAACAACAAAAUAAUAUGUUUUGGUGUAACAGUUGCAAUUCUGAAUCUCAGCUCCCUAUGCCUAGGUGACCAAAUUCUUCAUUGUUUAUACUAUAUAACUGUUCAAAUGACUGCAUAGGAAAACAAAAUGAUAAUUGCUUUAAUUAUAAAUGUACAAAUGACCUGAUUACACUUUCUAACUUCUCUCAUUAUUAUAUACAGUUACAAACUACAAAUCCAAGUGAAGGAUCAUACUGGGACAACUUCUUUUGUUCUUUUUGAUAAAGAUGCAGAAAAAAUAAUUCAAAAAACCGCUAUGUAACUUUCUUCAAAA